rnacentral:rRNA from 1 species
AACCUCCGCAAUGUGAGAAAUCGCGACGGGGGGAUCCCAAGUGCCAUUCUUAACGGGAUGGCUUUUCAUUAGUGUAAAGAGCUUUUGGAAUAAGGGCUGGGCAAGACCGGUGCCAGCCGCCGCGGUAACACCGGCAGCUCUAGUGGUAGCAGUUUUUAUUGGGCCUAAAGCGUCCGUAGCCGGUUCAAUAAGUCUCUGGUGAAAUCCUGUAGCUUAACUGUGGGAAUUGCUGGAGAUACUAUUAGACUUGAGACCGGGAGAGGUUAGAGGUACUCCCAGGGUAGAGGUGAAAUUCUGUAAUCCUGGGAGGACCGCCUGUUGCGAAGGCGUCUAACUGGAACGGUUCUGACGGUGAGGGACGAAAGUUAGGGGCGCGAACCGGAUUAGAUACCCGGGUAGUCCUAACUGUAAACGAUGCGGACUUGGUGUUGGGGUGGCUUUGAGCUGCUCCAGUGCCGAAGGGAAGCUGUUAAGUCCGCCGCCUGGGAAGUACGGUCGCAAGACUGAAACUUAAAGGAAUU